ACACAGGUGGGGCAUGGCUGUCGUCAGCUCGUGUCGUGAGAUGUUGGGUUAAGUCCCGCAACGAGCGCAACCCUCAUUCUUAGUUACCAACAGGUAAUGCUGGGCACUCUAAGGAAACUGCCAGUGAUAAACUGGAGGAAGGUGGGGAUGACGUCAAAUCAGCACGGCCCUUAUAGGGUGGGCUACACACGUGCUACAAUGGCAACUACAAUAGGUUGCGAGACCGCAAGGUUUAGCUAAUCCAUAAAAGUUGUCUCAGUUCGGAUUGUUCUCUGAAACUCGAGAGCAUGAAGUCGGAAUCGCUAGUAAUCGUGGAUCAUCACGCCACGGUGAAUACGUUCUCGGGUCUUGUACACACUGCCCGUCACGCCAUGGGA
rnacentral:rRNA from 1 species